GACAGAGGGUGCAAACGUUGUUCGGAAUUACUGGGCGUAAAGCGCACGUAGGCGGAUUUGUAAGUCAGGGGUGAAAUCCCGGGGCUCAACCUCGGAACUGCCUUUGAUACUGCAAGUCUCGAGUCCGAUAGAGGUGAGUGGAAUUCCUAGUGUAGAGGUGAAAUUCGUAGAUAUUAGGAAGAACACCAGUGGCGAAGGCGGCUCACUGGAUCGGUACUGACGCUGAGGUGCGAAAGCGUGGGGAGCAAACAGG
rnacentral:rRNA from 1 species